UGGGGAAUAUUGGACAAUGGGCGCAAGCCUGAUCCAGCCAUGCCGCGUGAGUGAUGAAGGCCUUAGGGUUGUAAAGCUCUUUUGUCCGGGAAGAUAAUGACUGUACCGGAAGAAUAAGCCCCGGCUAACUUCGUGCCAGCAGCCGCGGUAAUACGAAGGGGGCUAGCGUUGCUCGGAAUCACUGGGCGUAAAGGGCGCGUAGGCGGACUUUUAAGUCGGAGGUGAAAGCCCAGGGCUCAACCCUGGAAUUGCCUUCGAUACUGGGAGUCUUGAGUUCGGAAGAGGUUGGUGGAACUGCGAGUGUAGAGGUGAAAUUCGUAGAUAUUCGCAAGAACACCGGUGGCGAAGGCGGCCAACUGGCCGAAACUGACGCUGAGGCGCGAAAGCGUGGGGAGCAAACAGG
rnacentral:rRNA from 1 species